UGGGGAAUUGUUCGCAAUGGGCGCAAGCCUGACGACGCAACGCCGCGUGGAGGAUGAAGGUUUUCGGAUCGUAAACUCCUGUUGCCCGGGACGAAUAGCUUCGACCUAACACGUCGGAGUAUGACGGUACCGGGUGAGGAAGCCCCGGCUAACUCUGUGCCAGCAGCCGCGGUAAUACAGAGGGGGCAAGCGUUGUUCGGAAUUACUGGGCGUAAAGCGCGUGUAGACGGCUCUUCAAGUCAGGCGUGAAAGCCCCAGGCUCAACCUGGGAAAUGCGUUUGAUACUGUCGAGCUAGAGUGUGGAAGGGGCGAUUGGAAUUCCGUGUGUAGCGGUGAAAUGCGUAGAUAUACGGAGGAACACCAGAGGCGAAGGCGGAUCGCUGGGCCAACACUGACGCUGAGACGCGAAAGCUAGGGUAGCAAACGGGAUUAGAUACCCUUGUAGUCCCUGAGCGGGCUGGCAAGGCGCAU
rnacentral:rRNA from 1 species